UGAGGAAUAUUGGUCAAUGGGCGAGAGCCUGAACCAGCCACGUCGCGUGAAGGAAGACUGACCUUACGGUUUGUAAACUUCUUUUGUAGGGGGGUAAUGGCAGAUACGUGUAUUUGCGUGAAAGUACUCUACGAAUAAGCAUCGGCUAACUCCGUGCCAGCAGCCGCGGUAAUACGGGGGAUGCGAGCGUUAUCCGGAAUUAUUGGGUUUAAAGGGUGCGCAGGUGGCUAAUCAGGUCAGUGGUGAAAAGCUAUGGCUCAACCAUGGUCUUGCCAUUGAAACCGUAUAGCUAGAGAGGAGACGAGGUAGGCGGAAUGUGUGGUGUAGCGGUGAAAUGCAUAGAUAUCACACAGAACUCCGAUUGCGAAGGCAGCUUACCAGGCUUUAUCUGACACUUAGGCACGACAGCGUGGGGAUCAAACAGG
rnacentral:rRNA from 1 species